AGGUAGCCUAGUGGUUAGAGCAGGUAGUCUAGUGGUUAGAGGCAGGUAGCCUAGUGGUUAGAGCAGGUAGCCUAGUGGUUAGAGGCAGGUAGCCUAGUGGUUAGAGCAGGUAGCCUAGUGGUUAGAGGCAGGUAGCCUAGUGGUUAGAGCAGGUAGUCUAGUGGUUAGAGGCAGGUAGUCUAGUGGUUAGAGCAGGUAGUCUAGUGGUUAGAGCAGGUAGUCUACUGGUUAGAGCAGGUAGUCUUGUGGUUAGAGGCAGG
ensembl:lncRNA